GCGCCCCACGAUUUAUUCGACUCCGGCGAUUUGUCAACUUCUGCUUUAGCGGCGCCGCAACGGAGCACUCUGUCGGGCCCCUUGGCGGGAUCGGCGUCCGGAUCAUCUCGCGCCUCCGCAAGGGGGAUGGGACUGCUCGGGCUCAUCUGCAAGAGCCCCUCGCCGCCAUGCCGCCUGCUGCCGCUGACACCGUCAACGGGAGCGGACGAGCAGGAGAGAUCCUGUCGAUCUGAUGGCGAAAGGGCGAGAUAACCGGCUCCUGUAUGUUUUGGAAGGUUACACCAAGUCUCUCCUUUGUUUGAUUUUGGUUCCAGCUUUGAUCGGGAGCACCAACCGCGAGCUGGGAGAAAGCCCAAAGAACUCGAGGAAGAAGUGAAGCUCCUCAUUUUCUGUGAAGAAGUACCUUGAGACUGUCCGUGAGGAAGACACGCUGAAUAUCUUGCUUGAUUUUGUUCCCCGCCCACUGCACGCCGCUGUCGAGAACACCUCUGCUACCUCCUCCCAAUCUCCGCCACAAGAUUCUCCGUCCAGAUCCUGGGCGAGGAAUAAAAAAAUUAGUUCUUGAAGCUUCUCCAUCAUGCCGGACGGACAACUGUAUCCGGCACCGUCGCCAUCGCUUAUGGAGUUCCACACCAUUGCCCAGUUGUACGAGAGCAUGUUCAAUCUUCUCCAUUCAAGACUAUGCAAGUGGUGAACUCUGCCAAACAAGAAGAUAUGAGGAUAUGGCAUAUAUGCCCCAUAAGGUAGCUAUAUGGUAAUUCAUGUAUUGUAGUUUGGAUUACGGUCACACUUUGAAGGGUAAGUAGAUGAUGCUCAAUGACAUAACCUGCACUGAUCUUCACAGUCAUAUCAUCUGAUAGAAGUUUAUUGAAUUUCACUUAAAUUUUGUUGUAUGUUAUCCAUGAUGUAAGUGGAGAUAGGAAGUUAAACAAAAUUAAAAAUUGCAGCACAAAGGGGAUGUCCACCAAUGAUUUGACAUGAUAAGAUGUUAGUGAAGUAUGGCAAACUAUGACAUUAGCAAAACUUAUAUUUACAUAUAUUCAUAUAUAUGAAUUUUGGAAAUGUGCAUUGCACGUAUAUCGUACUUCUCUUCACUAUUCAAAAUACUUGUACCCACUAUGAUUUCAUUUUUUAUUAUUUACCUUGAAGGAGUAUUAUAUUAAUGUUAUUUGUUGUCCACCUUGAUCCUUCACUGCUAUUUUUCCUACUAAGCAACUUUGCAUGGAGUUAAGAUCACUUCGUAAGAUUCUGAUAUGUUUUUCAAAUUCGCUUCCUUUAUGCAUGAACCUAUCAUCAAGAUUUAGACCUCUUAUAUGGUGCAUGUAUGCUGCUGUAAGAAGAAAUGUAAUAUUGUCCUCAUCAAUUUCUUUCUUAGCAUGCACAAUGUGUUACAACAUCAAUUUCAUUGGUUUGGAGAAGGUGAUAAACAUGCAACCGUUCUUACUUGAUGAUAUGAAUGCUUCAUUGGAGCAAUAUUGGCCUUUGUUUGCACAUUAGUGUUCCAUUAUGUAGUAAAAGAUGUGGUCUGGUAGCCUUUCUUCAUUGUUACAGUUAUUGUCAAAUGGUGGAAUAUUGGUGCCUGGUAGCUCUGGUUCAUGUAAGCAUGACGAAACAUCGUAAAAUCAUAUUUCUUGUUGUAUCAUGAGUCAUAUGAAAAAGAAGGUUAGGCGAUUUAUGUUUUUAGUUUUUCUAUUGCUCGUGUGUUAAAGAUCUAGGCAUACAUUUCAGAUAUAAAUUUGGGCAUAAAUUGUCACAAAUAGAUGGGUGGCGUGGGUCAAGGUUCAGAAACCCAGGGCAUCAUGUUUCUUUCGAGCCAUAUGAGGAGAACUACAUCCAUGGUAGUGGCUACAAUAUAAUCAGAGAGCCAUGUACAUGUUGAUUGUUAUGAAAUCAUGGGAUGGAAUCU